UACGAAGGGGGCUAGCGUUGCUCGGAAUCACUGGGCGUAAAGCGCACGUAGGCGGAUCCUUAAGUCGGGGGUGAAAUCCUGGAGCUCAACUCCAGAACUGCCUUCGAUACUGAGGAUCUCGAGUCCGGGAGAGGUGAGUGGAACUGCGAGUGUAGAGGUGAAAUUCGUAGAUAUUCGCAAGAACACCAGUGGCGAAGGCGGCUCACUGGCCCGGUACUGACGCUGAGGUGCGAAAGCGUGGGGAGCAAACGGG
rnacentral:rRNA from 1 species